rnacentral:rRNA from 1 species
UGGCGGACGGGUGAGUAACGCGUGGAAAACCUGCCGUAUACUGGGGGAUAACACUUAGAAAUAGGUGCUAAUACCACAUAAGCGCACAGCUUCGCAUGAAGCGGUGUGAAAAACUCUGGUGGUAUACGAUGGUUCCGCGUCUGAUUAGCUGGUUGGCGGGGUAAAGGCCCACCAAGGCGACGAUCAGUAGCCGGCCUGAGAGGGUGGACGGCCACAUUGGGACUGAGACACGGCCCAAACUCCUACGGAAGGCAGCAG